rnacentral:rRNA from 1 species
UACGAAGGGGGCUAGCGUUGUUCGGAAUUACUGGGCGUAAAGGGCGCGUAGGCGGUGUGUCAAGUCAGGCGUGAAAGCCCCGGGCUCAACCUGGGAACAGCGCUUGAGACUGGCACGCUCGAGUUCGGGAGAGGAUGGUGGAAUUCCCAGUGUAGAGGUGAAAUUCGUAGAUAUUGGGGAAGAACACCGAUGGCGAAGGCAGCCCAUCUGGGACCG